UGGGCAACCUGCCCCAGACACAGGGAUAACCCCGGGAAGCCGGGGCUAAUACCGGAUACUCCGGUCGAACCGCAUGGCUCGAUCGGGAAAGCUCCGACGGUCUGGGAUGGGCCUGCGGCCUAUCAGCUUGGUGGUGGGGUAACGGCCUACCAAGGCGACGACGGGUAGCUGGUCUGAGAGGGCGACCGGCCACACUGGGACUGAGAUACGGCCCAGACUCCUACGGGAG
rnacentral:rRNA from 1 species